rnacentral:rRNA from 1 species
AUGACCCCACGGAGCUGGACAGCUAGGAGGACGGAACAGAGACAGCGAGGAGGAUGGAACGAAGAGGGAGGAGGGUCGGCGCUCUCCAGUGGCGCGGCCGGAGGCCGGUGGGAGGUAGGUGCGCGGCGCCGGGCCGCCACGGCCGUGAGCACGCAUGAGUUCGUGGCUGCUCAGGGCGUCGCAAGGGAGGCCGGGAAGGAGCGGGCAGAGGUGCGCAGGUACGGCGGUGCCUCGGGGAAACGGCGUGGAGCGCGCCCACGGCACCGCCUCUGCGCAGCCGAAGAUGGCCGUAGGCUCGAGCAGCCACGCGGAACGGCGCUUCGGAGGCGCCAUCGCCGCCCUCCACCGCCGCUCCGGCUCGUGGGCUCCGGCGCGCCUAGAUUUGCCGCCGCCCCGCUGCAGGGAGAUCCUCGCGACCCCGUCGUCAUCGCCUCUUCGUCGGACGAGGCGAGCUCCUCCUUCCGCGCCAAGCUCAGGGACUUCCGCAAGCCGGCUUCCCCCAGCGCGCGGCUCGCAAGAUUCCUCAACACCAUUUUCGCCGUCAAGCGCACGCCGUACGCGCGAUCAUCGGCCUCGUCGUACUUGCGGUCCUGCCUGAGCAAGAUGCACCAUUGA